UCUCUAACGUAUAUAAAAAUGGAUCUCAGCCAGAUUUUUCCCCGUCAUUUGUUCCACUUCAUCAACCACUAACUUUGACUCAGAAAAAUUCAGAGAGGAAAUCUCUCCCUCCAUUCUAUCCAAGUCGAAUGGUGGACGGAAGCAGUAUGACCCAGCAAUGGAUGAGGUUGCGUGUACCGAAGAAACUAAAAAGUCGUCACGUAAUGGACUUUAGUUGAAACGAGAAUCGAAAGUAGAACUUGUCAACAAGGGACAGUUGCCAAUUUAAUAAAUAAAACAAGUUCUCAUUAUGAAAACAAAAAAAA